rnacentral:rRNA from 1 species
AGAGGUCCCAAGCGUUGUUCGGAUUCACUGGGCGUAAAGGGUGCGUAGGUGGUGAGGUAAGUCGGAUGUGAAAGCUCCGAGCUCAACUCGGAAAUGGCAUUGGAAACUACCUUGCUAGAGGGUUUGAGGGGGGACUGGAAUACUUGGUGUAGCAGUGAAAUGCGUAGAUAUCAAGUGGAACACCAGUGGCGAAGGCGAGUCCCUGGAAAACUCCUGACACUGAGGCACGAAAGCUAGGGGAGCAAACAGGAUUAGAUACCCUGGUAGUCCUAGCCGUAAACGGUGCGUAUUUGCUGUAAAAGGAAUCGACCCCUUUUGUGGCGUAGCCAACGCGUUAAAUACGCCGCCUGGGAAGUACGGUCGCAAGAUUA